rnacentral:misc_RNA from 1 species
UCUCACGUUUCUCUGGAUCACUCAGCACCUCAUAGGCUUGUGCCAACUCCUUGAAUUUUUCGGGGUCACCACCCUUAUCAGGAUGGUUCUUGAUAGCGGCCUUUCUAUAAGCCUUCUUUAGAUCGUCUUGCGACGCAUUCUUCGAGACUCCGAGAAUCUCAUAGUAUUUGGUGUUAUCGCUCUUCUUCGGCCUUCCAAACAUUUUUGCCUCACCGAUCGGAUCUCAACAAACCCUUAGGAGAGCGAAAAGGGCGAUCUUGAAAUGAAAGAUCGGGUAGAGAGAUCGGUGACCUGAGAGCAGAGAAACGAAAAAGGGUCGCUCGAGACGGCGAGGUAGAGAGAG